CCUACGGGAGGCAGCAGUGAGGAAUAUUGGUCAAUGGGCGGGAGCCUGAACCAGCCAAGCCGCGUGAGGGAAGAAGGUACAGCGUAUCGUAAACCUCUUUUGUCAGGGAACAAAGGCGGGGACUAGUCCCCGGAUGAGGGUACCUGAAGAAAAAGCAUCGGCUAACUCCGUGCCAGCAGCCGCGGUAAUACGGAGGAUGCGAGCGUUAUCCGGAUUUAUUGGGUUUAAAGGGUGCGCAGGCGGCCUGUUAAGUCAGCGGGAAAAGCCCGGGGCUCUACCCCGGCGAGCCGUUGAAACUGGCGGGCUGGAGUUGGAGAGAAGUACGCGGAAUGCGCGGUGUAUCGGUGAAAUGCUUAGAUAUCGCGCAGAACCCCGAUUGCGAAGGCAGCGUACCGGCUCCACACUGACGCUGAGGCACGAAAGCGUGGGUAUCGAACAGGAUUAGAUACCCCGGUAGUC
rnacentral:rRNA from 1 species